CACGUAGGCGGAUAUUUAAGUCAGGGGUGAAAUCCCAGAGCUCAACUCUGGAACUGCCUUUGAUACUGGGUAUCUUGAGUAUGGAAGAGGUAAGUGGAAUUCCGAGUGUAGAGGUGAAGUUCGUAGAUAUUCGGAGGAACACCAGUGGCGAAGGCGGCUUACUGGUCCAUUACUGACGCUGAGGUGCGAAAGCGUGGGGAGCAAACA
rnacentral:rRNA from 1 species